rnacentral:rRNA from 1 species
ACGAACGCUGGCGGCGUGCCUAAUACAUGCAAGUUGAGCGCUGAAGGUUGGUACUUGUACCAACUGGAUGAGCAGCGAACGGGUGAGUAACGCGUGGGGAAUCUGCCUUUGAGCGGGGGACAACAUUUGGAAACGAAUGCUAAUACCGCAUAAAAACUUUAAACACAAGUUUUAAGUUUGAAAGAUGCAAUUGCAUCACUCAAAGAUGGUCCCGCGUUGUAUUAGCUAGUUGGUGAGGUAAAGGCUCACCAAGGCGAUGAUACAUAGCCGACCUGAGAGGGUGAUCGGCCACAUUGGGACUGAGACACGGCCCAAACUCCUACGGGAGGCAGCAGUAGGGAAUCUUCGGCAAUGGACGAAAGUCUGACCGAGCAACGCCGCGUGAGUGAAGAAGGUUUUCGGAUCGUAAAACUCUGUUGGUAGAGAAGAACGUUGGUGAGAGUGGAAAGCUCAUCAAGUGACGGUAACUACCCAGAAAGGGACGGCUAACUACGUG